ensembl:lncRNA
CUUUCAGAUUGUGAAGUCAGGAACCUGAGGGAGGGCAGAAAAUUUGAGUAAGCACAUUACCACUUCCUCUGGAGGAGUUGGUUGCUGUUCCAGUGGUAUUGUAACCACUAAAUGUCACAGUGAUCUCUCUAGUCCAGCUCAGCACUGCUCCACAAACUCAUCUUUUUACAGUCACUGACUCAGCUUUGACAAUUCUCAUUCUUUCCCCUCUAUGUGUAUAUAUCUCAGCAAUGAAGAUACAGCUGUAAUUCAGGAGAGAGAAUUUUUGGACAGGAGUGCUAUUCUUCAGUUGCCUAUGAAGCAUCUCCUAACGGAAAAGGUUACUUCAGGAUGAUGGAAGAAAUAAUUGUUAAGAACUAAACCAGCAAGGCAUUCUACCUAGGUUAAGACUAUAGCAAUUCUCUGGAGACAUACCUGAACUUGUUGACAGAGCCUAUCUGGGAAAUUUUAAAACAGAUUGGCUUGGUUGGAGUUUUUAAUUGUUUUGUUUUUUUUUUUUUUUUUUUUUUUUGAAUAAAGGUGAAGAAAAAAAAAACGGAUGUCAGAACUGAAAGCAAACUGCUUCUUGUUGAAAAAAUCUGAAAUGAUCUGAUUUUAAGCUGUUUUCAGAGGAACAGCUUUCUCUUUUAUCUUUUUUUUUUCUUUUUCCUUUUUUUUUUUUUUUUUUUUUUCCAUUUAGAAUUGGAAAUAACUUCAAAAGAGUAUUUCCCUACAGCAGGAAAACUCUUUUCCAAAAGUCAACCACACCCACUCUUUCAGCAGCCUUCCGGAGCUGAGGCAUUACAGCAAGCAUCUGUGAAAGGGAGUUCAUUGAGGACUGGAGCAUGUUUGGUGUUUUAAAUACUCAUAGCACAAUAGUAGUGAAGCCUGCCCUUCUCCAUCUUGCCCGGAAUAAGCAAUGGAUUACCAUUCUUGUCCUGACAAAGAGCUCCU